rnacentral:rRNA from 1 species
AUUGAACGCUGGCGGCAGGCCUAACACAUGCAAGUCGAACGGCAGCACAGAAGAGCUUGCUCUUUGGGUGGCGAGUGGCGGACGGGUGAGUAAUGUCUGGGAAACUGCCCGAUGGAGGGGGAUAACUACUGGAAACGGUAGCUAAUACCGCAUAACGUCGCAAGACCAAAGCGGGGGACCUUCGGGCCUCACACCAUCGGAUGUGCCCAGAUGGGAUUAGCUAGUAGGUGGGGUAACGGCUCACCUAGGCGACGAUCCCUAGCUGGUCUGAGAGGAUGACCAGCCACACCGGAACUGAGACACGGUCCAGACUCCUACGGGAGGCAGCAGUGGGGAAUAUUGCACAAUGGGCGCAAGCCUGAUGCAGCCAUGCCGCGUGUAUGAAGAAGGCCUUCGGGUUGUAAAGUACUUUCAGCGGGGAGGAAGGCGAUGUGGUUAAUAACCGCGUCGAUUGACGUUACCCGCAGAAGAAGCACCGGCUAACUCCGUGCCAGCCGCCGCGGUAA